CUCCAGACUCCUACGGGAGGCAGCAGUGGGGAAUAUUGCACAAUGGGGGAAACCCUGAUGCAGCGACGCCGCGUGAGCGAUGAAGUAUUUCGGUAUGUAAAGCUCUAUCAGCAGGGAAGAAAAUGACGGUACCUGACUAAGAAGCCCCGGCUAACUACGUGCCAGCAGCCGCGGUAAUACGUAGGGGGCAAGCGUUAUCCAGAUUUACUGGGUGUAAAGGGAGCGUAGACGGCUGUGCAAGCCAGAUGUGAAAGCCCGGGGCUCAACCCCGGGACUGCAUUUGGAACUGUGUGGCUGGAGUGUCGGAGAGGCAGGCGGAAUUCCUAGUGUAGCGGUGAAAUGCGUAGAUAUUAGGAGGAACACCAGUGGCGAAGGCGGCCUGCUGGACGAUGACUGACGUUGAGGCUCGAAAGCGUGGGGAGCAAACAGGAUUAGAUACCCUGGUAC
rnacentral:rRNA from 1 species